UACGUAGGGUGCGAGCGUUAAUCGGAAUUACUGGGCGUAAAGUGUGCGCAGGCGGCCGCGCAAGUCGAGUGUGAAAUCCCCGAGCUUAACUUGGGAAUUGCGCUCGAAACUACGUGGCUGGAGUGUGGCAGAGGAAGGUGGAAUUCCACGUGUAGCGGUGAAAUGCGUAGAUAUGUGGAGGAACACCGAUGGCGAAGGCAGGUCUCUGGGCCAUUACUGACGCUGAGAAGCGAAAGCAUGGGGAGCGAACAGG
rnacentral:rRNA from 1 species